rnacentral:rRNA from 1 species
AACGACUCUCGGCAACGGAUAUCUCGGCUCUCGCAUCGAUGAAGAACGCAGCGAAAUGCGAUACUUGGUGUGAAUUGCAGAAUCCCGUGAACCAUCGAGUCUUUGAACGCAAGUUGCGCCCCAAGCCUUCUGGCCGAGGGCACGUCUGCCUGGGUGUCACA